CACGGGGGGAGCAAGCGUUGUUCGGAAUCACUGAGCGUAAAGGGCGUGUAGGCGGUUCGGUAAGUGGAAUGUGAAAUCCCUCGGCUCACCCGAGGACCUGCAUCCCAAACUGCCGAGCUUGAGUAUGGGAGAGGAUGAGGGAAUUCCUGGUGUAGCAGUGAAAUGCGUAGAUAUCGUAAGGAAGACCAGUGGCGAAGGCGAAUCUCUGGACAGUUACUGACACUGAGGCACGAAGGCCAGGGGAGCAAACGGG
rnacentral:rRNA from 1 species